CGAAGGGGACAGCGGAGGGACAUUACCGAGUUAUACAACUCAUCAACCCUGUGAACAUACCUAAACGUUGCUUCGGCGGGAACAGACGGCCCCGUAACACGGGCCGCCCCCGCCCAGAGGACCCCCUAACUCUGUUCCUAUAAUGUUUCUUCUGAGUAAAACAAGCAAAUAAAUUAAAACUUUCAACAACGGAUCUCUUGGCUCUGGCAUCGAUGAAGAACGCAGCGAAAUGCGAUAAGUAAUGUGAAUUGCAGAAUUCAGUGAAUCAUCGAAUCUUUGAACGCACAUUGCGCCCGCCAGUAUUCUGGCGGGCAUGCCUGUUCGAGCGUCAUUACAACCCUCAGGCCCCCGGGCCUGGCGUUGGGGAUCGGCGGAGCCCCCCGCGGGCACACGCCGUCCCCCMAAUACAGUGGCGGUCCCGCCGCAGCUUCCAUUGCGUAGUAGCUAACACCUCGCAACUGGAGAGCGGCGCGGCCACGCCGUAAAACCCCCAACUUCUGAACGUUGACCUCGAAUCAGGUAGGAAUACCCGCUGAACUUAAGCAUAUCAAUAAGCGGAGGAAAAGAAACCAACAGGGAUUGCCCUAGUAACGGCGAGUGAAGCGGCAACAGCUCAAAUUUGAAAUCUGGCUCUCGGGCCCGAGUUGUAAUUUGUAGAGGAUGCUUUUGGUGAGGUGCCUUCCGAGUUCCCUGGAACGGGACGCCACAGAGGGUGAGAGCCCCGUCUGGUUGGACACCGAUCCUCUGUAAAGCUCCUUCGACGAGUCGAGUAGUUUGGGAAUGCUGCUCUAAAUGGGAGGUAUAUGUCUUCUAAAGCUAAAUACCGGCCAGAGACCGAUAGCGCACAAGUAGAGUGAUCGAAAGAUGAAAAGAACUUUGAAAAGAGAGUUAAAAAGUACGUGAAAUUGUUGAAAGGGAAGCGCUUGUGACCAGACUUGGGCUUGGUUGAUCAUCCAGGUUUCUCCCUGGUGCACUCUUCCGGCCCAGGCCAGCAUCAGUUCGCCCCGGGGGRAAAAGGCUUCGGGAAUGUGGCUCCCCUCCGGGGAGUGUUAUAGCCCGUUGCGUAAUACCCUGUGGCGGACUGAGGUUCGCGCAUCGCAAGGAUGCUGCGAAAUG
rnacentral:rRNA from 1 species